UGGAGGAAAGCAGGGGAUCGUAAGACCUUGCGCUUUUGGAGCGGCCGAUGUCUGAUUAGCUAGUUGGUGGGGUAAUGGCCUACCAAAGCUUCGAUCAGUAGCUGGUCUGAGAGGACGGCCAGCCACACUGGGACUGAGACACGGCCCAGACUCCUACGGGAGGCAGCAGUGGGGAAUUUUGGACAAUGGGCGCAAGCCUGAUCCAGCCAUGCCGCGUGAGUGAAGAAGGCCUUCGGGUUGUAAAGCUCUUUCAGCCGGGAAGAAAAGGCUGCGAUCAAUAAUCGCAGUUCAUGACGGUACCGGAAGAAGAAGCACCGGCUAACUACGUGCCAGCAGCCGCGGUAAUACGUAGGGUGCGAGCGUUAAUCGGAAUUACUGGGCGUAAAGGGUGCGCAGGCGGUUUUGUAAGUCAGAUGUGAAAUCCCCGGGCUUA
rnacentral:rRNA from 1 species